GCGGCGGCGAGUCCUCCUGCUGCUGCCGCUGCCGCUGCCGCUGCGCGGGCUCUUAAAGGGGCCGCCGCCUCCGCCGCGCCCGAGGAUGCCGAACUUCUGCGCCGCCCCGAAUUGCACCCGCAAGAGCACCCAGAGCGACCUGGCUUUCUUCCGUUUCCCCAGGGACCCCGCCCGGUGCCAGCGAUGGGUUGAGAACUGCCGAAGGGUCGAUCUGGAAGAUAAGACGCCUGAUCAGCUGAACAAACACUACAGGCUGUGCGCAGAGCAUUUCGAAACCUCCAUGAUAUGUCGGAGCAGCCCCUACCGGACAGUUUUACGUGACAACGCCGUGCCUACCAUAUUCGACCUGACAAGCCAUUUGAAUAACCCACACAGCAGGCACCGCAAAAGGAUUAAAGAGCUGAGUGAAGAGGAAAUACGAACAUUAAAACAGCAAAAGAUUGACGAAACUUUCGAACAAGAAAAGACCAACUCCGAAUCCAAGAACGACGUCCAGAACCCAGCCUCAGAAGAAAGCCGAGAGGAGCCAACCGACGACGACGUCCCGUUAACCCAAGAAGAGCGGGAAAACAAAGAUUACCUCAAGUCGUUAUUUGAGAUUUUAAUUCUCAUGGGCAAACAAAACAUCCCUCUGGACGGCCACAACGCCGACGAGCUUCCCGAAGGAAUUUUCACCCCGGAUAAUUUCCAAGCCCUCUUGGAAUUCCGGAUCAAUUCGGGAGACGAAGUUCUGAGGAAACAAUUCGAGACCACGGCCGUAAACCUGGCUUAUUGCUCCAAAACCCAACAGAAGCAAAUGCUGGAGAUUUGUGAGAAUUGCGUGCGGGAAGAAAUGCUGAGGGAAGUCAGGGACUCUCAGUUUUUCUCCAUCGUCACCGACGAAGUGGUGGACUUGGCCGGCGAGGAACACUUGCCCAUCCUGGUGAGAUUUGUGGACGACGCUCACAACUUGCGAGAAGAAUUCGUCGGCUUCUUACCUUACGAAGCCGACCCGGAAAUCUUAGCGGUGAAGUUCCACACCACCGUUACCGAAAAGUGGGGCUUAAACAUGGAGUAUUGUCGAGGUCAGGCCUACGUCGUCUCCAGCGGGUUUGCUUCUAAAAUGAAGACCGUGGCCACGAGGAUUUUGGAAAAGUAUCCUCAGGCCAUUUACACGUUGUCUUCUUCGUGUGCCUUGAACAUUUGGUUAGCCAAAUCGGUUCCCGUUCUGGGCAUUUCGGUGGCGCUGGGAACCAUGGAGGAGGUCUGUUUGUUCUUCUUGCAGUCCUCUCAGAUGUCAGCCGGGUUGGACAACAUCCUCUCCGUCCUCUUUCACAACAGCGAGGAGAAAGGGAAUUCGCUGAAGGAGAUUGCCCGUUCUCACUGGACGGGACGCCACGACAGCUUUGAGAUCGUGGUUGACCUUCUCCAAGCUCUGGUGCUCUGCUUGGACGGCGUCAACGACACUUCCGUGGCGUGGAACAGCUCCCUGGUGGGACAAGCGAACAUCCUCUCCAUGGCCCUGGCGAAUUUUGACUUCGUGGUCACGGUCGUCAUCAUCAAGAACGUUCUCUCGUUCACCAGAGCUUUUGGGAAGAACCUCCAGGGCCAAACGUCCGACGUUUUCUUCGCGGCCAGCAGCUUGACCGCCGUCCUUCAUUCCCUUAACGAGGUGAUGGAGAACAUUGAGGUGUAUCACGAGUUCUGGUUUGAGGAAGCCACCAACUUGGCUUCCAAGUUGGACCUCCCUAUUAAAUUGCCCGGGAAAUUUUGUCGAGCCCAACAGGGAAAUAUGGAUUCUGAGAUCACUCCGGAGAAUUACUACAAAGAAGCUCUCAGCAUCCCGACGGUGGAACACAUCAUCCAAGAGUUGAAAGAUAUCUUCUCAGAACAGCACUUGAAGGCCCUCAAGUGCUUGUCUCUAGUGCCUUCGGUCAUGGGGCAGCUCAAAUUCAAUACCUCCGAGGAACAUCACGCCGAUAUGUACAAGAACGACCUCACGAACCCGGAUACCUUGUCGGCGGAGCUUCACUGCUGGAGAAUCAAGUGGAAACACCGCGGGAAGGACAUCGAGCUCCCUACCACCAUCUACGAGACCCUCCACCUGCCGGACAUCAAGUUUUUCCCCAACGUCUACUCCUUGCUGAAGGUCCUUUGCAUCCUGCCCAUCAUGAAAGUGGAGAACGAGAAGUUCGAGAUCGGCAGGCGGCGUCUGAAGGCCUACCUCAAGAACACGGUGACCGAGCAACGCUCCAACAACCUGGCCCUGUUGAACAUAAACUUUGACAUCAAACACGACUUGGAUUUGAUGGUGGACACUUAUAUGAAACUCUAUCCGGAGAAAGCCGAAUUUCAAGAGGAGUUUCUUCCCCCUCGCAAUUCCGAAGAGGUCCAAGAGACUUAACCGAAACGAGGGGUUAAGGUGGACCACCGGCAUGGUUGAGAUAACAUCAUUUGGCCUUCUAAACAAUAAUAAUAAUAAUAAUAAGGGUCCAUUCAGCAUUCCCACUUGAAGUACAACGUCAGCGUAGAGCCCCUUAACGUCGUAGGCCUGUCGUGAAAGCAGCCGCAGAUAAUUUACCCAGUUCUAUUUUUGCAGCUGAGCUUUAUAUGUUCUCUGAGCAUAUUAUAAGGCCUUCCUUGGUUUAUUGCCAAGAAAAGCCAGUUCUUAAAAGGAAAAAAAAAAGUGUGUAUUGAUUGUUAAUUUCUUCCCUCUGUCCCCAAAUUCCAAGGCCAAGAAAGAAGGAUGUAAUUUUGACCUAAGCUAUGCUGUGGAGGUGUACUUUUCCAUCUCUUGAACCCUUUGCUAAGAGUGGGGAGGGGGGGGAAUGGUCUUGGUCCAAUCUUGUCCACCAGUCUUUAAGUCUGGGAGUUGGAAGUCCAAAAGUCUUAAAAGUGACUUAAGGUUGGACAUCCACUAGUCUAUACCGAGGUUUUUUUUAAAUCUAGGGACUGACCCGGUUAGCUGAACUAAAGUUAUCAUUUCUACGAGGCUUCUCAUGUUAUUUCGGAAAAAGAAAUUUCCGGAAUCCGGGAUUGUUUUCAGAAUUGCAGCUCCCUUUAUUAAUCGAGGGUUUGGUUGACUUGUUCUUCUCGGUCCCUUUUCCAACCGAUUUGAACCCAUCCAGGAGACUGUGGGUUUUGUUUUUUUCCUCCUUCCACAAAUGAAUUAAUGUCUUUUAUGAAAACUAAGGCUUUGUAAGCGGCUAAAACCGAUGGCCAGCUAGGUUUAUUCUUUAUUUUUCUGAUGAAUUACCAGUGAUUUCCACGAUAACUUGAGAAACGAGCAAACAAUGGGCUCUUAAAUUUGGAAAGUUUUUUUUUUUUUUAAAUGUAGAAUUGCUACCAAAAACUUUUUGGAAAUAUUUUUGGCCAAAACAAAAAGAAGAGGGGAAAAAUGAUUUUUUUUUUUUUGGUAUAGUUUCUUUCCAUGCAGAAAUAAAAUGUGAAUUUGCUAUUGUGGUCUGAGCCAUUGGUUGUAGUGGUAAAAGAUUCGCUGUCUUUCUAAUUGGGCUUGGAAGCUAAACCGGGGCGUGGCUCGUUUAACACCUGGAUGGGAGACCAUGGUUUAUCUUGGAAGUAAAAUUUCCUAACUGGUAUAAAAUGGUAAAGGUAUAGGUUCCCCUUGCACAUAUGUGCUAGUCGUUCCUGACUCUAGGGGGCGGUGCUCAUCUCCGUUUCAAAGCCGAAGAGCCAGCGCUGCCCACGUCUCCGUGGUCAUGUGGCCGGCAUGACUCAACGCCAAAGGUGCACGGAACGCUGUUCCUUCCCACCAAGGUGGUCCCUAUUUUUUCUACUUGCAUUUUUACAUGCUUUCGAACUGCUAGGUUGUCAGAAACUGGGACAAGUAACGGGAGCUCACCCCAUUACACGGCAGCACUAGGGAUUCGAACCGCCGAGCUGCCGACCUUUUUAUCAACAAGCUCACAUCGAUAAUCCUU